rnacentral:rRNA from 1 species
AUUCCAGCUCCAAUAGUGUAUAUUAAAGUUGUUGCAGUUAAAAAGCUCGUAGUUGGAUUUCUGGCGGGAGCGAUCGGUCCUUCACUCAGUGUUGGAACCUGAUUGUCUCCUGCCAUCCAUGGAGAAAACUUAUCUGGCAUUAAGUUGUCGGGUAGGCAAUCUCCAUCUUUUACUGUGAAAAAAUUAGAGUGUUCAAAGCAGGCUUAUGCCGUUGAAUAUAUUAGCAUGGAAUAAUAAGAUAGGACUUUAGUGCUAUUUUGUUGGUUUGCACACCAAGGUAAUGAUUAACAGGGACAGUUGGGGGUAUUCGUAUUUAAUCGUCAGAGGUGAAAUUCAUGGAUUUAUGAAAGACGAACUACUGCGAAAGCAUUUACCAAGGAUGUUUUCAUCA